GACGAACGCUGGCGGCGUGCCUAAUACAUGCAAGUAGAACGCUGAAGAGAGGAGCUUGCUCUUCUUGGAUGAGUUGCGAACGGGUGAGUAACGCGUAGGUAACCUGCCUUGUAGCGGGGGAUAACUAUUGGAAACGAUAGCUAAUACCGCAUAACAAUGGAUGACACAUGUCAUUUAUUUGAAAGGGGCAAUUGCUCCACUACAAGAUGGACCUGCGUUGUAUUAGCUAGUAGGUGAGGUAACGGCUCACCUAGGCGACGAUACAUAGCCGACCUGAGAGGGUGAUCGGCCACACUGGGACUGAGACACGGCCCAGACUCCUACGGGAGGCAGCAGUAGGGAAUCCUCGGCAAUGGGGGCAACCCUGACCGAGCAACGCCGCGUGAGUGAAGAAGGUUUUCGGAUCGUAAAGCUCUGUUGUAAGUCAAGAACGAGUGUGAGAGUGGAAAGUUCACACUGUGACGGUAGCUUACCAGAAAGGGACGGCUAACUACGUGCCAGCAGCCGCGGUAAUACGUAGGUCCCGAGCGUUGUCCGGAUUUAUUGGGCGUAAAGCGAGCGCAGGCGGUUUGAUAAGUCUGAAGUUAAAGGCUGUGGCUCAACCAUAGUUCGCUUUGGAAACUGUCAAACUUGAGUGCAGAAGGGGAGAGUGGAAUUCCAUGUGUAGCGGUGAAAUGCGUAGAUAUAUGGAGGAACACCGGUGGCGAAAGCGGCUCUCUGGUCUGUAACUGACGCUGAGGCUCGAAAGCGUGGGGAGCGAACAGGAUUAGAUACCCUGGUAGUCCACGCCGUAAACGAUGAGUGCUAGGUGUUGGAUCCUUUCCGGGAUUCAGUGCCGCAGCUAACGCAUUAAGCACUCCGCCUGGGGAGUACGACCGCAAGGUUGAAACUCAAAGGAAUUGACGGGGGCCCGCACAAGCGGUGGAGCAUGUGGUUUAAUUCGAAGCAACGCGAAGAACCUUACCAGGUCUUGACAUCCCGAUGCUAUUUCUAGAGAUAGAAAGUUACUUCGGUACAUCGGUGACAGGUGGUGCAUGGUUGUCGUCAGCUCGUGUCGUGAGAUGUUGGGUUAAGUCCCGCAACGAGCGCAACCCCUAUUGUUAGUUGCCAUCAUUCAGUUGGGCACUCUAGCGAGACUGCCGGUAAUAAACCGGAGGAAGGUGGGGAUGGCGUCAAAUCAUCAUGCCCCUUAUGACCUGGGCUACACACGUGCUACAAUGGUUGGUACAACGAGUUGCGAGUCGGUGACGGCAAGCUAAUCUCUUAAAGCCAAUCUCAGUUCGGAUUGUAGGCUGCAACUCGCCUACAUGAAGUCGGAAUCGCUAGUAAUCGCGGAUCAGCACGCCGCGGUGAAUACGUUCCCGGGCCU
rnacentral:rRNA from 1 species